GUCUAUGGCCAUACCACCCUGAACGCGCCCAAUCUUGUCUGAUCUCGGAAGCUAGGGUUGGGCCUGGUUAGUACUUGGAUGGGAGAAAAAAAGAGACAAUUUCAUAGGAAAACGGGCAAUAGACU
rnacentral:rRNA from 1 species